UUCGGAAUGAAGUUUUAGUGACUGAGUGGCGGACGGGUGAGUAACGCGUGGGUAACCUGCCUCACACAGGGGGAUAACAGUUGGAAACGGCUGCUAAUACCGCAUAAGCGCACAGUACCGCAUGGUACAGUGUGAAAAACUCCGGUGGUGUGAGAUGGACCCGCGUCUGAUUAGCUAGUUGGCAGGGCAACGGCCUACCAAGGCGACGAUCAGUAGCCGACCUGAGAGGGUGACCGGCCACAUUGGGACUGAGACACGGCCCAAACUCCUACGGGAGGCAGCAGUGGGGAAUAUUGCACAAUGGGGGAAACCCUGAUGCAGCGACGCCGCGUGAGCGAAGAAGUAUUUCGGUAUGUAAAGCUCUAUCAGCAGGGAAGAAGAAAUGACGGUACCUGACUAAGAAGCACCGGCUAAAUACGUGCCAGCAGCCGCGGUAAUACGUAUGGUGCAAGCGUUAUCCGGAUUUACUGGGUGUAAAGGGAGCGCAGGCGGAAGGCUAAGUCUGAUGUGAAAGCCCGGGGCUCAACCCCGGUACUGCAUUGGAAACUGGUCAUCUAGAGUGUCGGAGGGGUAAGUGGAAUUCCUAGUGUAGCGGUGAAAUGCGUAGAUAUUAGGAGGAACACCAGUGGCGAAGGCGGCUUACUGGACGAUAACUGACGCUGA
rnacentral:rRNA from 1 species